rnacentral:rRNA from 1 species
CGAAGGGGGCUAGCGUUGUUCGGAAUUACUGGGGCGUAAAGCGCACGUAGGCGGAUACUUAAGUUAGGGGUGAAAUCCCAGGGCUCAACCCUGGAACUGCCUUUAAUACUGGGUAUCUUGAGUUCGAGAGAGGUGAGUGGAAUUCCGAGUGUAGAGGUGAAAUUCGUAGAUAUUCGGAGGAACACCAGUGGCGAAGGCGGCUCACUGGCUCGAUACUGACGCUGAGGUGCGAAAGCGUGGGGAGCAAACAGGAUU